GUGCUUACUUCGGCAGCACUUAUAUACUAAAAUUGGAACAAUACAGAGAUUAGCGUGGCCCCUGUGAAAGGAUGAUGAUACACAAAUUCGUGGAGCGUUCCAUAGAUUU
ensembl:snRNA U6 U6 spliceosomal RNA